rnacentral:lncRNA from 1 species
CACGCGUUCCCUGUGUGCCAGGACAUCCAGUAGCUCAUUAAAUCUGCCCCCAAACUACACACUCUUCACGUUUCAGGGAUGACGGACUGAGAUUCACGGGACUGUGAGACUUGCCUGACGUCACAUUGGGAAUAAGUGACGGCCAGACGUGGGCCCGCUCCACCCGGCUCUGAAGCAGUGACAUCCCUCACCCCAAUUUCAUGGCUCGAGAGACCCUUGUCAUUUGGUGAGAUCAGGUCCCCUGAGGGACAUGAUGUUUCCCCGCGACCAAGCAACCCCUCUGCCUGACGCCGUGCUGGGCGCGCUAAGCGUCAAGACAGAUGCGACACUUCAUCUGUGCCUCGGAGAACGCCUUGGACGAUCUGACCGAAACGUCUGUGCAGGGAUGGCAGAUGGAUUUGGUUCUGAAUUUUUGAGAGAAAUGGAGGCCAAGUCCCACAGGCAGUGGGCUAGAUCCCCAGGUGCACAGGUUGGAGCAGCCGUUUCCAUAGGACACACAUCUACAGCCACUCCAGGUGGACUCUGUGUUUCUCAGGUUGGAUUGAGCGGCUCAGACAAGAUGGUAAGCUCCUCAGAGAGGCCUUACAUCUCUGAUGCCCCUGUGCCUGCUUAGCCCACAGCUUGUUACCUGACCCACAGGAGGUACACGACCAGUGCUUGUGGAAGAAAUGAAUCUGUUGUGGCAGUUUUAAAAUUUGUCCACAGAUUCUCUGACAUUCCUUGCAUGAAGAGGUGGGGCCCGUGUCUCUUCCCCUGAAACUGGCUACCGUGUGAGCAGUUCAGCUGCCGCGAGACCACCGUGCUGUGAGGGAGUCUAAACCAGCCCGUGCAGGGAGGCCACGUGGAGAAGUUCUGAAACCAAUGAAGAGGGGAGAGAGAGAAAGAGGUCCAGCUGGCCCCCAGCUGCUUCAUCCCACUCCUGUUCCAAAGCCAGCCACCACCCGACCAUCACUGAUUAAGAUACCCUGAGCCAGAACCACCCGGGGCAGCCAUUUCUGAGUUCCUGACCCACAGAAUCCAUAAGAGAUGUUAAAAUGAUUGUUGUCACUUUAAGCCAAUAAUUUUGGUGGUGAUUUAAGAGAUAACAGGAACAGAAUUUUGUACCUCAAGUGGGGUGCUGCACUGGUAUUGGCUUUGGGGUGGGGUGGGAGGUGGAGGCUGGAAGGGCCUCGAGGAGUCUCUUAGCAGAAGCCUUGAGGAGGCUCUCAGCGAGGGCUUACAUGAAAGUCAG